ACUGCUCAGUAACACGUGGAUAAUCUAACCUUAGGUGGAGCAUAACCUCGGGAAACUGAGAAUAAUACUCCAUAGAUCUUUGAGGCUGGAAUGCGCUUAGAUUGAAAGCUUCGGCGCCUAAGGAUGAGUCUGCGGACUAUCAGGUAGUAGUCAGGGUAAAGACCUGACUAGCCUAUGACGGAUACGGGUUGUGAGAGCAAUAACCCGGAGAUGAUAUCUGAGACACGAUAUCAGGCCCUACGGGGCGCAGCAGGCGCGAAAACUUCACAAUGUGCGAAAGCACGAUGAGGGAAUCCCAAGUGCUUGCACGUAAGUGCAAGCUGUUUCUAUGUCUAAAACACAUAGAGAGUAAGGGCUGGGUAAGACGGGUGCCAGCCGCCGCGGUAAUACCUGCAGCUCAAGUGGUGGCCGCUAUUAUUGGGCCUAAAACGUCCGUAGCCGGUUUAAUAAAUGCCUGGGUAAAUUGUAUAGCUUAACUAUACGAAUUCCGGGUAGACUGAUAAACUUGAGACCGGGGGAAGUUAGAGGUACUCCUGGGGUAGAGGUGAAAUUCUGUAAUCCUAGGGGGACCACCGGUGGCGAAGGCGUCUGACUAAAACGGGUCUGACGGUGAGGGACGAAGCCCUGGGGCGCAAACGGGAUUAGAUACCCCGGUAGUCCAGGGUGUAAACGCUGCUUGCUUGAUGUUAGUCGGGCUUCGAGCCCGAUUAGUGUCGGAGAGAAGUUGUUAAGCAAGCUGCCUGGGAAGUACGGCCGCAAGACUGAAACUUAAAGGAAUUGGCGGGGGAGCA
rnacentral:rRNA from 1 species